GCAAGUGUGGUGGAAUGGUAUACACGAUAGGUUAAGAAUCUAUUGCCUUCGGGAUUGAGAGUUCGAAUCUCUCUACUUGCACCA
rnacentral:tRNA from 1 species